AGGAACGAAGGUCAGAAAACAAGCUUCGAGUUUUGGAACUGGUGUAGCAGCUUCUCCUGAAAUGUGCCCUAAACAAUGUUGAAUGAAGUGGAUUAUUCCAAGUCAGGUUAAGAGGUCGCAGGGUUGUGGCCCUUUAUUUUUGGUAUUCGUCCCUUCUUUGCUUGCCAUCUUCACAUCCUCUCACGUGGUACUGCCGCCAUCAUCGCAUUAUUGAGGAACACCACAUAACUCAGAUACUCUCAAAGAUUUCACACUCGACUCGAGAUAUGAGGCAAGUGCAUGCAGAUUUGUGUUUUACUCUGAUACCUAGCUUUCGAAAGAUGUGCUGAUGCAAUCAGUCUUUCUGACGCUUCCUGUUUGUGUUUCGUUGCUGUUGUGUGUGGCGUAUGACUUCCAGUCUGUCUACAUUCAGACCAUAAGCCGUGUAAAUUCAGACACAAGCUGAACGGUGUAAAUUCAGACAUAUGCUAAACUCUCCGGCAGUGCUGUGUGUAUACAGUGUUGUGUGGAUAAGCCCUUAUCUGUUUUUGAU